rnacentral:lncRNA from 1 species
GUUUAGAGUGACCUGCUGGAUAUCCGUGAAGGUGAAAAUAAAGAGAGUUCAAAAUGUGUUUGUUUACAAAACCACGAGUCUAACAUAACAUGGGCAUGGAGUAGUGGGGAAUAAUGUGACAAGAAUGCUGUCCAUGAGUCUAGAUUUUGAGUUGUUAGGAAGGAUGAGACUGGACUUCAAUGAGAAGAGGAUACUGGGGUACACAGGCAGGUGAGCAGACUCUUAAAACAACUAUAAAUUUCAAUUUACAGGGUUAUUGAGUGAAUAUGUCUCCCCCAAAUCCACGUGUUGAAAUCUUAGCCCACAAUGUGAUGAUAUUAGUAGGUGGUGCCUUUUGGCGGUGAUUAGGUCGUGAGGGUGGAGCCCUCAUGAAUAGGAUUUGUGCCCUUAUAAAAGAGAUUCUAGAGAGCUUUCUCACUCCUUUCCACCACGUGAGAACACAGUGAGAAGACAGUAUCCAUGAAUCAGCAAGAAGGCCCUCACCAGUCACCAAAUCUUCUAGCACCUUGAUCUUCGAAGCCUCAGCCUCCAGAAUUGUGAGAAAUAAAUGUUUGCUGUUUAAGCCACCCAAUGAUGUUUUUGUUGUAACAGCCCAUGGACUAAGACUAUAUAUAUAUGUGUAUGCAUAUGUACAUAUGUAUACAUAUAUGUAUACAUAAUAUUAAUUAUAUAUACACAUUCAGUAUGGCAUCUAUAGCACAGAAUGUUAAUACCUUCAUCAUCAUUUUAUCUGAAGAAAACCAGUCAACAUUCACUGUGAUUUUUAAAUUUUGCAGUUUUUGAUGAUAGACUUAGUAGGAAAUAGACAUGUGGGAAGUUUCCAAUAUGCCUUCUGUACCUAUCACUGAGGAGCUCUGAGCUGAGAUUAUAAUGAGUAGAGCUGUAUUAGAAAACAUUCUCCAUUCUGCUGCACUUCCUCCGGGCUGAGUGAACACGCCGUUUCUUACUGAGUAUGUUUUAUUUAGCAUUUCAGCCAGCUUUCCAAUUUAGCUAACUUUCAGGUUCUCUUGUUAACUUACUUACUUGUGUGCCCAAGUAGAAUUGGAACACCUCUUUUGCAUAAUCACAAUCAGUAGAAUUGGAACACCUCUUUUGCAUAAUCACAAUCUGUUGACCCCUUAUCUUUUGAAGAUCUGAUGCACAAACUCAGGGCAAUGCUGGUUCCCAACUGGAACUGUGGACCUCAGUGGUGUUGAACAAUCGGGAAAAGAAACAUAAAAUGGAAAGGUCUCCACCAGUCAACCGUAAGAAACAGUGAUGACUAUGAUGUAGCCUUCAGCAUGGGGAAGUACCAAGUAGGUGUCCAGAUAAGCUGAAAGGCAAUGAAGUGACAGGAAGGAAAGGUCUGGGACUGCCUCACCAGCAGAAAUACACCAGGCACCUGGAAGUCCUUGCUGGUCACUUGCUCACUGCUCAGGGCAGGACCACUCAAGCUGGUGCCUGCAUUCUAUGCUACCAGCAGCAGCUGCCCUAGCUUCUUUACCACAUCAACGUUUUCAUACACAUUAUCUCACAAUUUGUCUGCUAAGACUUCAGCUGUAAUUUAUGAAGCACUGAAGGGACUACAUCCAUCCGAGUGAUAGAAACUCCAGGCUGAAGCUGUUCAAGCAAUCCUAACUCGUCUUAUGUAUCAAUAACCCCAGUACCUGGCACUGAGCAAUAUCAAAAAUUGGAGAGAAUAAACUGUGGAUAUAUAUUUUUAAAAUUUAGCUCACUAGGAUAAGAGAAUCUGAUUGCAGACUUUAUGUUCUUUGGACUUUAAUUUGUAAAGUGAUUGAAUAUUUGGACUUAAAUUUCUCUCCAGGAAUUUGAAAAUGGUAGGGAGUUUGUAUUCAAACUUAGGGCAUCUUUAUGUUGACAGUCGAUUAAAUAUCUUAAUCAGGUUGUUUGAUCUCUACAACCUGUUAUGCUGUCUUUUAGAAACAUGACUAUAUAUAAUUUGAAAUGGGGAAUAGGAAAUAGAUUUUGAGCCUUGGCUACAGUAUAGUCUUGGAGCUAAUUUCAUGGAUGUACAGGUGUCAUUAAUCUCAGAGCUUGUGAGGGGGAAAUCCACACUGUCUAUAGUGAUCCCAUGGUGACUGCCAAAGCAGCAUUAGUUGGCCCUGGGAGAAUGGCCAGUAGGAGUAAGACUGUCUUGACAGGUUGCUGAUCUCUUCUGAGGGCAACAGCCACACUGCAGGAGGAAAACAAACAGCUGAGAGUGGUGGCCUAAAAAGGUGCUAGUCAGAUUUCCUGUGGAGGGGAGCACAGUUGACUCAAAACCCCAAAUGCCACCCCUCUGGAUCCAGCACCAUGUGCGGUGCUGCCAAAUUCUUCCAGGAUGGUCCCAGCCAACCAAUGCUGAGCCUGGUGGGAGUAGUGGUACAGGGUCCAUUCCUGCCUGAUGUGAAACUUUGCUGGCAGGUGAUUGGCUUGAGGACUUUCCAUUGGUCUUUUCAAAACUUUCUUAGAACUGCACCAUGCUACCCAAUCAUUGUUCCUUCCUUUAGCCUUCCCCACACUGCCUCCCACAGGUGCCAGACUUACCUCUUGGUCUGAGGCCGUCCUUACUUACUCAUGCUUCCUCCCUGUACCCUUCAUAGGCAUGUCCCCCAGUAAAGCUCUUGCACAUUUCACCUCGUCUUGGUGUCAGCUUCUCAGAGGUCCUGAACUAACGCACUAAAAAAUCUUAGGGGAAUGAAAGGAUUUUUAAAAUGCAAAGUUAAAAUGAAAUGCUUAUGGGAUCUCCUUGCCACUGCCUUCUCCUUCUCCUCCAGCCCAAGUUCCUCUGGAUACAUUUUGCAAACCACUUCACAACAUAGGAAGUAUGGAGGAAAAUGUGGUUUUACUGUGAGAAGAAAAAUAUAGAUGAUUCUUUAGGAAAUUCUGACGAGAGCAGAUGAAGGCUGAAUUGGAUCCCAAGACAGGAGAAGGUAUUAAAGGUGAUAAAUAUAAGACAGGGAAAGUCACACUUUAAGCUGAACAAAGAACUCUGGCUAAAGGAUUUGAAUCUCUUUUAGCUCCAAAGAAAGUUCCAGGUAAGGUUCUGAAGCAGGGAGUUUGUCAUAGUUAAGAAAGGAAGCAAUUAAAGUAAGAAAGUAUCUUAGAAGCAUUUUCCAGGUCAGUAUGAAUAGUAACAAAAUUCCAGAGAUAGUGCUAACCAGACAGGGGGAGGGAGAGACUGGAGGCAAAAUAUAAUGCUCCUGAGCCUGAUUUAAGCAGCUAAAGCAAAGUCCAGGCCAGGGAAAUGGAGGGCAGUGGCAAGAUACCACGGAGAGGUUUGUUACUCAGAAGACUGCUUGUAUUUUUGAAGUACAUUUUCAAAGGGUAAAAAGCAGUUUGAACUUAGCACCCACCAGAUGCAAAAUGAAUGUAUCAAUAUUUUAAAACAAUAUACAGCAUGGAGAGCUAGUCACACUUUAAAUAAUUAAUUCCCUGGUAAUUAACCUAAGAAUGACAUGAUAAAAGAGAAACUUCCCCAGUGUGUGUCAGAUUAUGUACAUUUAAAAUUUAAAACUUUCAUAAGGUAUACAAGGGGGCCAAGAGGAUCACAGAUUCAGAGGCUACACUGAAAAGUCAGAAGCAGUCUCCAGAUUUUGAUAGAUUUCUGGAAAGAUGUGUCAAAAGAUCAGCUUGACACGGACAGCUGGGCUUCCUUGAAAAUUAAGUUUCUGUGUACAGAGUUCUUCAGGUAUCCAAUUUCUACUCUCACCUCUGCCUCCAGAAGCAGGUCUCACAGGACUCCACUGCAGCAAAGACCUGUCAGAUCCCCCCGUUGC